rnacentral:rRNA from 1 species
UACGAAGGGGGCUAGCGUUGCUCGGAAUCACUGGGCGUAAAGCGCACGUAGGCGGAUUGCUAAGUCAGGGGUGAAAUCCUGGAGCUCAACUCCAGAACUGCCUUUGAUACUGGCGAGCUUGAGUUCGGGAGAGGUGAGUGGAACUGCGAGUGUAGAGGUGAAAUUCGUAGAUAUUCGCAAGAACACCAGUGGCGAAGGCGGCUCACUGGCCCGAUACUGACGCUGAGGAGCGAAAGCGA